AUUAUUAUUAUUACUUCAUUUAUUCUGUAGUAUGUGUACGACUUCGUACAUGUGCCAUUCUACAAGCGUGUAUUACGUAUAAAAUUUGAAUUUCCCGGGAUUUGUAACACUCCGUAUAUAUACGGUGCUGUUUGUGUACGGAGUCGUAUCGUUUGCUUGCUGUACCUUAGCCACAUCGUUAGUUUAUUAUAUAGAAUUAUAUACAACAAUACUUUCUCGAAGUGAUCUCAAAGUAAAUAAAUAAAAGGAUAACUGCAAGCAAUUUACCUUAGUUUAUUAACAUGUGUGUGAGCACCUUUAAGAUUGGAGUUUACUUUUUUACGGUACUAACUUAAAUCUCGCGUUGGCUGCAUUUUUUACCGCAAACUAUCCCCUUGAAGCUACAGUUUAUGUAGAUACAGUCGGCGACAUGUAUUUCUCCCGUACACGAUAACAAAUGUCCACGAAAAUAUCUCUAUGUAAAGAACUCUAUGUAAGAUAUUUCUAUGGAAUAUCUUUUCUAGCGGAAAAUUUUUAUGGGAAAAAAUUUGUCUAUUUGACAAUAAUUAUAUGCAAAAAUAAGUCUAUGUGCAAAUAAAUCUAUUCGAAAUCAAGUCCGUGAAAAAAUAUUUCAAUUUUAAAAUAAAUCCAUGCGUCAACAUCUCUAUGUAAAAUAAGUAUAUGUAAAUUUACAAAUUUACUAUAGUAUCUGUCAUAAAGUUGCAUGCACUGCAUUAACUGUGAGAUUCACAAAAAGGAUGAAAAAAUAAAAAUUAAUUUUAGAAUCCCAAUUACCACAUUAGAAAUGAGUUUUUCUAUUUUUAAUUCCGUAUCCAGAUUAAUGCAGAGCAAGCGGGUAACAGCUGGGAUAUAUACAUAUAGAUUUAAUGGGAAGGUAAAACUGUACAUGUAGAAAUAAAUAGUAAAAAUUUA